GCCGCUGUCCCGGGGACCGCGGAUUGGAAGCAGGAAGUCACUGGCCGCGGACAGAAUCUCUCUCUCCUUCCAUCUCAGGCAUUCUUGAGAGUCUAAAAAGUGAUUCUACUAUACAUCAGCAUUCAGAAAAUGAGUGAAAUGAACAGCUUCCACCUUGCGUUCCUGCCACCACGAUCAGAGAUCAGUCAUACCUACCCCCAUCAUAAUGACUCAAACCCUCUGAAUCAGGAGUCACAAUAAAUAUUUCCUUCCUCAA
ensembl:lincRNA Gm26901 predicted gene, 26901